rnacentral:lncRNA from 1 species
CAGGUUCAAAAGGGCAGCAAGGUUCUUCAGGUGUGCCUGGAUUACCAGGUAUAGCAGGCCCCCCUGGAUUUCCUGGUAUUCAAGGGGAUAAAGGAGAACCUAAACCUGGCACUGGGCCUCCAGGAAACCCAGGACCUAAGGGUAAUCCAGGUCUUCUUGGAGAGAGGGGAAGAAAAGGGACACGUGGAUCACCAGGCCACCCAGGUCUUAUUGGAGAACCUGGACUACCUGGAAACAGAGGCAAUACUGGUUUACCAGGAAUUACAGGACAACCAGGACCUGUAGGCAGUAAUGGUAUUAAAGGUAGCAAAGGACUGCCAGGAC